UACGUAGGGUGCAAGCGUUGUCCGGAAUUAUUGGGCGUAAAGAGCUCGUAGGCGGUUCGUCACGUCGGCUGUGAAAACCUGAGGCUCAACCUCAGGCCUGCAGUCGAUACGGGCGGACUCGAGUUCGGCAGGGGAGACUGGAAUUCCUGGUGUAGCGGUGAAAUGCGCAGAUAUCAGGAAGAACACCCGUGGCGAAGGCGGCUCUCUGGGACGGUACUGACGCUGAGACGCGAAAGCGUGGGGAGCGAACAGG
rnacentral:rRNA from 1 species